rnacentral:rRNA from 1 species
GACGAACGCUGGCGGCAGGCCUAACACAUGCAAGUCGAACGAGAAACCAGAGCUUGCUCUGGCGGAAAGUGGCAGACGGGUGAGUAACGCGUGGGAAUUUACCCAGUGGUACGGAAUAACUCAGGGAAACUUGUGCUAAUACCGUAUACGCCCUUCGGGGGAAAGAUUUAUCGCCAUUGGAUGAGCCCGCGUUAGAUUAGUUUGUUGGUGGGGUAAUGGCCUACCAAGACUACGAUCUAUAGCUGGUCUGAGAGGAUGAUCAGCCACACUGGGACUGAGACACGGCCCAGACUCCUACGGGAGGCAGCAGUGGGGAAUAUUGCACAAUGGGCGCAAGCCUGAUGCAGCCAUGCCGCGUGAGUGAAGAAGGCCUUAGGGUUGUAAAACUCUUUCACCGGUGAAGAUAAUGACGGUAGCCGGAGAAGAAGCCCCGGCUAACUCCGUG